AUGACUCAAUUGUCAUUUCAGUCAAAGUAACCUGAGGAUCCUAAGACGAAAUGGCCACUUAUAUAGCCAGAUGGCCCCUUCCAUUCUGGCAGGCUCUGGUGGACUUCAUCACGUAGGAAAGCAAUAUUCCCAAUUAAAGGGAUAAUUCACCCAAAAAUGAAAAUUCUAUCAUUAACUGCUCAACCUUCAUGUCGUUUUAAACCGGCAAGAUCUUCGGUCAUCUUCAGAACACAAAUUAAAAUAUUUUUGAUGAAAUCCAAGAGCUUUCUGACCGUGCAUAGUGAGCAACACAACUGGAAUGUCCCCAGACCCAGAAACGUAGUAAGGACAUCAGUAAAACAGUCAUCACAUCAGUGGUUAAACCGUAAUUUUACAAAGCUACAAGCAGGGCGUAACUAGGCGGUUGCCUAGGGCGACAAAUAUGUUGGGGGCGUGGGCGCCCUCUAGGGUCGGCGUUACGUUAUGUUACGUUACGCAAGUGCGCAGCUGAUGAAGAAAAUGAAGUGGUCUAAUAAACCCUCCGGUGCACAGGGAUGAAAACGGAGAAAGGAAGAAGAUAAAAGGAAAACCCAGUAUAGAGAUGCACUCACCCAAUAUUUGCAGAGGCCGGCACCUGCUGGAGAAAGGACACCUGAUCCUUCAUGUUCUCCUCUCUCUGAACUUUCUGCAGGAGUAGGGACAUCCGGUACUGGUACUCCAGGAACCAGUGACACAUAGGCCAGGAACACACAGCCUGCAUCAAGUAAAGGUGAAGGGACACCCGGGACCACAUCAAGCACUCAGGGCACCAGUGAAGGACAGACGACUGAGACCAGGGACACGCAGCCUGAAGGAAGUGAAGGGGCCACAUCUAGCAUUCCGGGCCCCAGUGAAACACAGACCACUGAGACCAGGAAUACUCAGCCUGAAGCAAGUGAAGGAACAACAAACACAACAUGCUCUGCUACUACACUGCCGCCUGCAGACACCUCACCCUCUGCAAUUCCUGAUGUCCAGGGAGCACCUAUAGAUCCUGCUGACUGGCCAGCCCUCUGUGAUGCGGUGAAGGGGCCACAUCUAGCAUUCCGGGCCCCAGUGAAACACAGACCACUGAGACCAGGGAUACUCAGCCUGAAGCAAGUAAGAC